CGGCGGAGCGGGAGUCAGACGCGCUGCAGUCCGUGCGCGCCCCAGAGGAGUUUCAGAAAAUUCCUAAAAAGUCUGGCUGGAAAAUUUUAAGCAACGUGAAUCCCGAUUUAUUGGAUAAUAACGAAAAUGUUCCGGAGCGCGUCGAGGUGUACUAUUUUGAGCAAAACACGGGCUCGUACCUCGCCACGAGCGGCGCC